GUCCACGCCCUAAACGAUGGAUACUCGACAUACGCGAUACACUGUGUGUGUCUGAGCGAAAGCAUUAAGUAUCCCACCUGGGAAGUACGUUCGCAAGAAUGAAACUCAAAGGAAUUGGCGGGGUCCGCACAAGCGGUGGAGUAUGUGGUUUAAUUCGAUGAUACGCGAGGAACCUUACCUGGGCUAGAAUGCUGGGAGACCGCUAGUGAAAGCUAGUUUUGUAGCAAUACACUGCCAGUAAGGUGCUGCAUGGCCGUCGU
rnacentral:rRNA from 1 species